AUGGGCAGACACUCCUCUGCCAGCCAAGGUGUGGAGGAACACUGGGCUCCACCCAGACCAGGACCUCAACAGGGUCAGGGAAAAAGCCAGUCAGGACACUUUCCUGCCAUCCCACCUGGAGUUUUGUGUUCUCUGUGGGGCAGCAGCUUGAUUUCCUGGUCCCAGGGAUUCUGCUUCAGGCUCUGGAGAACUGGGCUUGUGUGUACCUGUGAUCCAGCUCGAACCAAGCAGACAAGAGCAAGGCCCUACAACAGCCAUUUGCAAACUUGGAUGUCACUGGACUUGAUACACAGCCAAGUUUAGGAACUGCUGCUUUAGAAAAUACUGGCAAAACAAGACAGAAGGAACCUGGGUCCCUGGAUGACCGCACGGAGCAGAACCUCCCUCCCAUGGGAACAUUCACCUUGAAGAGUUACAUGAGAGAGACAUCAACCUCUAUCUUAUUUACCCUUACAAAGGCCAUGAAAGAGACAUUUAGGGAGUUAAAAGGAAACCCUGAUUGCACUUGGAUGCCUGUAAUAUCAGCAAAUGCUCAUGAAAUUCAAGGUACCAGCAAUCACUUGCUUGUACACACACACACACACACACACACACACACACACACACACACCUCACAUACUUUUCUGCAUGGCUCUCUCUUUCCCAGUCACUAUUAGGGUGGUAAUCAGCUAGAACCACAACUUUCCCAGCUUCCCAUCUGAUUAAUGGGGAACUUUCUCCACCUGCCUUCCACCACUCCAAGGCAGGCCAAGCUCCAGCUUCCUCCUUUAUAUUCUCCUCCUGAUACUAUAAAACAAUUAAAUAAAAUUUCCUAUAGACUCUGCCUUUCCUAUCUU
rnacentral:lncRNA from 1 species